CACUAUUUUGCAAAAACAACACAUAUCUUAUUUAAAUUUUUGAAAAUUUAAUUCACCCCCCCUCUUAGGUUGUCUUGCUGAGCAACAAGUGGUAUCAAAGUCCAAUACUCACUUAUAUUUGAUCUAACGAUCAAGAGUUAAGAUCAAAUGGCAAUCCAAAUGAGCACAUGUCUUACCGAAUGAGUGAUAAUCGACCAACCAUCCAUCUUUAUCAAUGGAACAAAUUAUACUUAUUAGAAAGCACGCAAGCGCAUUUACAUUCAAGUAUUUGAUUAUUAACUUUAUCAAAGGCUCACACACUCCCACAAUCAAAGUAGAUGGUAAUGAUAUUUCUAAAUUCGAAAAGAAUUGGGAUGAGCAUGAUAUGAGAAUAGUAGAGUUAAAUACUAAAGUUAUGAAUGUUCUAUA
rnacentral:lncRNA from 1 species